GACGAACGCUGGCGGCGUGCCUAAUACAUGCAAGUCGAGCGAGCUUGCCUAGAUGAUUUUAGUGCUUGCACUAAAUGAAACUAGAUACAAGCGAGCGGCGGACGGGUGAGUAACACGUGGGUAACCUGCCCAAGAGACUGGGAUAACACCUGGAAACAGAUGCUAAUACCGGAUAACAACACUAGACGCAUGUCUAGAGUUUGAAAGAUGGUUCCGCUAUCACUCUUGGAUGGACCUGCGGUGCAUUAGCUAGUUGGUAAGGUAAUGGCUUACCGAGGCGAUGAUGCAUAGCCGAGUUGAGAGACUGAUCGGCCACAAUGGAACUGAGACACGGUCCAU
rnacentral:rRNA from 1 species